CCUACGGGGGGCUGCAGUGAGGAAUAUUGGUCCAUGGGCGCGAGCCUGAUCCAGCCAAGUCGCGUGAAGGAUGACUGCCCUACGGGUUGUAAACUUCUUUUAUAAAGGAAUAAAGUGAGGCACGUGUGCCUUUUUGUAUGUACUUUAUGAAUAAGGAUCGGCUAACUCCGUGCCAGCAGCCUCGGUAAUACGGAGGAUCCGAGCGUUAUCCGGAUUUAUUGGGUUGAAAGGGAGCGUAGAUGGGUUGUUAAGUCAGUUGUGAAAGUUUGCGGCUCAACCGUAAAAUUGCAAUUGAUACUGGCAGUCUUGAGUACAGUUGAGGUAGGCGGAAUUCGUGGUGUAGCGGUGAAAUGCUUAGAUAUCACGAAGAACUCCGAUUGCGAAGGCAGCUUACUAAACUGCCACUGACAUUGAUGCUCGAAAGUGUGGGUAUCAAACAGGAUUAGAUACCCGAGUAGUC
rnacentral:rRNA from 1 species